AACGAACGCUGGCGGCAUGCCUAACACAUGCAAGUCGAACGAGACCUUCGGGUCUAGUGGCGCACGGGUGCGUAACGCGUGGGAACCUGCCCUUAGGUUCGGAAUAACUCCCCGAAAGGGGUGCUAAUACCGGAUAAUGUCUUCGGACCAAAGAUUUAUCGCCUUUGGAUGGGCCCGCGUUGGAUUAGCUAGUUGGUAGGGUAAAAGCCUACCAAGGCGACGAUCCAUAGCUGGUCUGAGAGGAUGAUCAGCCACACUGGGACUGAGACACGGCCCAGACUCCUACGGGAGGCAGCAGUGGGGAAUAUUGGACAAUGGGCGAAAGCCUGAUCGAGCAAUGCCGCGUGAGUGAUGAAGGCCUUAGGGUUGUAAAGCUCUUUUACCCGGGAUGAUAAUGACAGUACCGGGAGAAUAAGCUCCGGCUAACUCCGUG
rnacentral:rRNA from 1 species